rnacentral:rRNA from 1 species
GGGAGGCCAAUACUGCAGUCGAGCGAGCUUGCCUAGAUGAUUUUAGUGCUUGCACUAAAUGAAACUAGAUACAAGCGAGCGGCGGACGGGUGAGUAACACGUGGGUAACCUGCCCAAGAGACUGGGAUAACACCUGGAAACAGAUGCUAAUACCGGAUAACAACACUAGACGCAUGUCUAGAGUUUGAAAGAUGGUUCUGCUAUCACUCUUGGAUGGACCUGCGGUGCAUUAGCUAGUUGGUAAGGUAACGGCUUACCAAGGCAAUGAUGCAUAGCCGAGUUGAGAGACUGAUCGGCCACAUUGGGACUGAGACACGGCCCAAACUCCUACGGGAGGCAGCAGUAGGGAAUCUUCCACAAUGGACGAAAGUCUGAUGGAGCAACGCCGCGUGAGUGAAGGAGGGUUUCGGCUCGUAAAGCUCUGUUGGUAGUGAAGAAAGAUAGAGGUAGUAACUGGCCUUUAUUUGACGGUAAUUACUUAGAAAGUCACGGCUAACUACGUGCCAGCAGCCGCGGUAAUACGUAGGUGGCAAGCGUUGUCCGGAUUUAUUGGGCGUAAAGCGAGUGCAGGCGGUUCAAUAAGUCUGAUGUGAAAGCCUUCGGCUCAACCGGAGAAUUGCAUCAGAAACUGUUGAACUUGAGUGCAGAAGAGGAGAGUGGAACUCCAUGUGUAGCGGUGGAAUGCGUAGAUAUAUGGAAGAACACCAGUGGCGAAGGCGGCUCUCUGGUCUGCAACUGACGCUGAGGCUC